rnacentral:rRNA from 1 species
AUGAACGCUGGCGGCGUGCCUAAUACAUGCAAGUCGAGCGAACGGACGAGAAGCUUGCUUCUCUGAUGUUAGCGGCGGACGGGUGAGUAACACGUGGAUAACCUACCUAUAAGACUGGGAUAACUUCGGGAAACCGUAGCUAAUACCGGAUAAUAUUUUGAACCGCAUGGUUCAAAAGUGAAAGACGGUCUUGCUGUCACUUAUAGAAGGAUCCGCGCUGCAUUAGCUAGUUGGUAAGGUAACGGCUUACCAAGGCAACGAUGCAUAGCCGACCUGAGAGGGUGAUCGGCCACACUGGAACUGAGACACGGUCCAGACUCCUACGGGAGGCAGCAGUAGGGAAUCUUCCGCAAUGGGCGAAAGCCUGACGGAGCAACUCCGCGUGAGUGAUGAAGGUCUUCGGAUCGUAAAACUCUGUUAUUAGGGAAGAACAUAUGUGUAAGUAACUGUGCACAUCUUGACGGUACCUAAUCAGAAAGCCACGGCUAACUACGUG